GUCUGUGUGGUAUAGUGGUUUGAGCAUUGGACUAGGACUCUGGAGACCAGGGUUCAAAUCCUGGCUUGGGCA